UCCGAGUUAUCCCCGGCAGUCUCACUAGAGUGCCCAGCCGAACUGCUGGCAACUAAUGACAAGGGUUGCGCUCGUUGCGGGACUUAACCCAACAUCUCACGACACGAGCUGACGACAACCAUGCACCACCUGUCUCCUCUGCCCCGAAGGGAAGGACCCGUUACGGUCCGGUCAGAGGGAUGUCAAGCCCUGGUAAGGUUCUUCGCGUUGCUUCGAAUUAAACCACAUGCUCCGCUGCUUGUGCGGGUCCCCGUCAAUUCCUUUGAGUUUCACACUUGCGUGCGUACUCCCCAGGCGGAGCACUUAAUGCGUUAACUGCGGCACCGAAGCCUUGCGACCCCGACACCUAGUGCUCAUCGUUUACGGCGUGGACUAC
rnacentral:misc_RNA from 1 species